AAUGCAAGCCGUUCUAUCGCUGUCCCGAUUUAUCGAGAGAGAGGAAAGUCCGGGCAACAUAGAGCAUCUCGCUUCCUAACGGGAAGGCGUUUAGGAUUGAAUGCCUAAACGACAGAAAGUGCCACAGAAAAUAUACCGUCCCGACUUUAAGUUGGGAUAAGGGUGAAAACGUGAGGUAAGAGCUCACGAUCUCGCUAAGUGAUUAGCGAUUUGGUAAACCUCGGGAGUUGAAAGACCAAAUAGGCUAACGCAUGUAGGGCGGCUCGUUCGAUGUUAGUGGGUAGGUCGUUAGAGCUAAACGGCAACGUUUAGACUGGAUUAAUGAUAGAAUUCCGAUUUAUCGGAAACAGAACCCGGCUUACAGGCUUGUAUUUUUU
rnacentral:RNase_P_RNA from 1 species